GCGUUUCACCCUGGAGAAGGAAUGUUGGCAGAGAUCACCACCACAUGGAAAGAGCUCUUAAAGCUGUUGGGCCUGAAAUUUUACUCAGCAGUUUGAAAUCAACCCUCAGCUUUCCUCAUCCACCCUCCAACUUGGGGCUAAUGCACAGGCAGGAACACCUAUGAGGAAAACCACAAAAAACUUCAAAAUAGCUACAACGGGAAAAAAGAGUUUUAUCCCAUGGUUAGCAGGCCACUAGUCUAUUAACUUCCAGUCACCUUGAUUUCUGCUGAAAUGAAGACUGCGCAGUCUAUACUUCUCCUGUUGCUGUUCAUGCCUCUGACAGAGCCAGCACCACCAACUCAGCAGGAUGCACCCAUUAUCUAUGAGUAUGGAACAGAGAAUUUUCAAGAAACCAAAUUUGGCCAAGAUUAUGAAGAUAAAUACCUGAUGGGGAAAAUAUUAAGGAAAAAAAAGCUAUGAUAAUUCCUGAUGAGAAAAGUUUUCAGUUACAAAAAGAUGAGACUGUAACACAAUUGCCAACCAAGAAAGAAAGUGAUGAAAUGCCCACGUGCCUGUUGUGUGUGUGUUUAAGUGGCUCUGUAUACUGUGAAGAAGUUGACAUUGAUGCUAUACCACCCUUGCCAAAGGAAUCGGCGUAUCUUUAUGCAAGAUUCAACAAAAUAAAAAAGUUGACUGCCAAAGAUUUUGCAGACAUGCGUAAGUUAAG